AGUGUAAGGAAUGUUGGAGUGUAUGGAAUGUUGGAGUGUAAGGAAUACUGAAGUGUAUGGAAUGUUGGAGUGUAAGGAAUGUUGAAGUGUAAGGAAUACUGAAGUGUAAGGAAUGUUGGAGUGUAAGGAAUGUUGAAGUGUAAGGAAUACUGAAGUGUAAGGAAUGUUGGAGUGUAUGGAAUUUGGAGUUGUAAGGAAUGUUGGAGUGUAUGGAAUGUUGGAGUGUAAGGAAUGUUGGAGUGUAAGGAAUGUUGAAGUGUAAGGAAUGUUGGAGUGUAAGGAAUGUUGGAGUGUAAGGAAUACUGAAGUGUAAGGAAUGUGGAGUUGUAAGGAAUGUUGGAGUGUAAGGAAUGUUGAAGUGUAAGGAAUGUUGAAGUGUAAGGAAUGUUGGAGUGUAAGGAAUACUGUAGUGUAAGGAAUGUUGAAGUGUAAGGAAUG
ensembl:lncRNA